rnacentral:sRNA from 1 species
UGACUCUGAAAGCGACAGGGCCACAGGGUU